rnacentral:rRNA from 1 species
CCUACGGGUGGCUGCAGUGAGGAAUAUUGGUCAAUGGCCGGAAGGCUGAACCAGCCAAGCCGCGUGAGGGAGGAAGGCGCAGAGCGUCGCAGACCUCUUUUGCCGGGGGACAAAAGGCCGGACUCGUCCGGUCCUGAGGGUACCCGGAGAAAAAGCAGAGGCAACCUCCGUACCAGCAACCGGGGUAAUACGGAGGAUGCGAGUGGUUUCCGGGGUCAUGGGGUUUAAAGGGUGCACAGGAGGGCCUUUAAGGCGUCGGUGAAAUCGCGGGGCUCAACCCCGCCGAGCCGUCGGAACUGGGGGCCUUGAGUGCGGCGGAGGCAUGCGGAAUGCGCGGUGUAGCGGUGAAAUGCAUAGAUAUCGCGCAGAACCCCGAUUGCGAAGGCAGCGUGCCGUGCCGCCACUGACACUGAGGCACGAAAGCGCGGGGAUCGAACAGGAUUAGAUACCCUGGUAGUC